GAACGUUUUGCAAAGGUUUACAGAAGAAGGUUCAUUAACCCAACAAUGAGUUAUAGAGAAUGCAGAGUAUCUACAGAACUUCAAAGCACACAGUACAGGAACAUAAGUGACGUAGUUAUGGUUCGGAUCAAGUAUGAUUUAGGUGUUUCCUGCGACAUGUAGCUAUACUGGGAUGUAAAACAUAUUUCAAGGUAAAUAGACAAAAAAACUGACAUCAUGGUAUUCUGAGAAAUGUGUGCUUAUGGCGACAUGGGAACCACGAAGUUCUGAAACGAUGGGGAGAAUUCUGUUCCCUGGGGAGAAAGUGUGACCAUCAAGUCUUAGCUGAAGACCCAGUCCAUCAAGUCUUAGCUGAAGACCCAGAAAUAAAAGCUGAAAGUUGUCCAUAAAGGUCAAAGCUAGCCACUGUGCCCCAAUAUUUUUAAUUCAAUUCUUGCGUUUCCUAAUGUUUUAUCCAGUAACACACUUAAAAGGGAAUACUGGAAGCUGGGGUACAGCCACAAAGAUUAUUUAAUGAAUCUAAAAUUCCAACAUACAUCUAUCUGCUCUAGAGGAGACUUAAAGGAACACUCCACGCGCCAUAAUCACUGCAGCUCCCUUUAGUGGUUAUGGUGCUUAAAGUGUUCCUGUCACCUUUUCCUUUUACAAAUAUCAGAAUAACAUUUAUUUUAAUCAUGGGAUGUGUAGCUAGUAUAAAGUAUAAAUUACAGUAAUUCUG